GUACUACUGCAUAUAAGGUAUAACUUCAGACCGUCCCCCAGUACUACUGCAUAUAAGGUAUAACUUUAGACCGCCCCCCGUACUACUGCAUAUAAGGUAUAACUUUACACCGUCCCCCAGUACUACUGCAUAUAAGGUAUAACUUUAGACCGCCCACCAGUACUACUGCAUAUAAGGUAUAACUUCAGAACGCCCUCCAGUACUACUGCAUAUAAGGUAUAACUUUACACCGUCCCCCAGUACUACUGCAUAUAAGGUAUAACUUUAGACCGCCCACCAGUACUACUGCAUAUAAGGUAUAACUUUAGACCGCCCACCAGUACUACUGCAUAUAAGGUAUAACUUCAGAACGCCCUCCAGUACUACUGCAUAUAAGGUAUAACUUUAGACCGUCCCCCAGUACUACUGCAUAUAAGGUAUAACUUUAGACCGCCCCCCAGUACUACUGCAUAUAAGGUAUAACUUCAGACCGUCCCCCAGUACUACUGCAUAUAAGGUAUAACUUUAGACCGUCCCCCAGUACUACUGCAUAUAAGGUAUAACUUCAG